rnacentral:rRNA from 1 species
UUCCGGUUGAUCCCGCCGGACCUGACUGCUAUCGGAUUGAUACUAAGCCAUGCGAGUCUUUGUAGUAAUACAAGGCAGACGGCUCAGUAACACGUAGUCAACCUACCCUAUGGACAAGAAUAAUCUCGGGAAACUGGGCAUAAUUCUUGAUAGAUCAUAAUGCCUGGAAUGGUUUAUGGUUAAAAUGAUUCGUCGCCAUAGGAUGGGACUGCGGCCUAUCAGCUUGUUGGUGAGGUAAUGGCCCACCAAGGCGAUUACAGGUACGGGCUCUGAGAGGAGAAGCCCGGAGAUGGGUACUGAGACACGGACCCAGGCCCUAUGGGGCGCAGCAGGCGAGAAAACUUUGCAAUGUGCGAAAGCACGACAAGGUUAAUCCGAGUGAUUUCUGCUAAAGAAAUCUUUUGCCAGUCAUAAAACCACUGGUGAAUAAGGGGUGGGCAAGUUCUGGUGUCAGUCGCCGCGGUAAAACCAGCACCUCAAGUGGUCAGGAUGAUUAUUGGGCCUAAAGCAUCCGUAGCCGGCUUUGUUAGUUUUCGGUUAAAUCCAUGUGCUCAACGCAUGGGCUGCCGAAAAUACUGCAUGGCUAGGGAGUGGGAGAGGUAGACGGUACUCAGUAGGAAGGGGUAAAAUCCUUUGAUCUAUUGAUGACCACCUGUGGCGAAGGCGGUCUACCAGAACACGUUCGACGGUGAGGGAUGAAAGCUGGGGGAGCAAACCGGAUUAGAUACCCGGGUAGUCCCAGCUGUAAACGAUGCAGACUCGAUGAUGCAUUGGCAUAAUAGCCAGUGCAGUGUCGCAGGGAAGCCGUUAAGUCUGCCGCCUGGGAAGUACGUACGCAAGUAUGAAACUUAAAGGAAUUGGCGGGGGAGCACCACAAGGGGUGAAGCCUGCGGUUCAAUUGGAGUCAACGCCGG